AUCCCACAAAUGAUUUGUUAGGCAUGCAGGUUUGUAUUGUUUCUGAUACUAUAAGGACAACAAAUACAGCUCUUUUUUUUCAAACUGCUACACCCAGGAAGCUGGAAGAAGAGUAGAUAUUACAUAUUGAGUUUCUGAAAAAUAUAAAAGUUCCUGAGGGUAUACACCUGAAAGUAAAACAGUGGUAGAUGACUGUGAAGGCAGAAUAAUGGCCCUCCAAAGAUGUACACAUCCUAAUACCUGGAAUCUGUGAAUAUGUUACCUUACAUGGCAAAAAUGAUUUGCAAACAUAAAUUAAGAACCUUCAGAUGGGGAGACUAUCUUGGAUUAUCCAGAUGGCAGAAGGAGCCAUGAACAAAGGAAUAUGGGCAGCCUCUAAAAUCUGGAAAAGGCAAGGAAAUAGAUUCUCCCCUACAAGAUCUGGAGACCAGUGAGACCAAUAUUGGACUUCUAACUCACAAAACUGUACUUCUGCUGCUCAACAUCAAGAUUCAAGGAGUUCAUCACUUGGAUGAGACUGGGGAAGAGGAUGGGUAUUUUUUGUUCACCAGAAUACUGAGAAUUGCAGUAUAUCUUUUUAGGAUAAUACUUUUUACAGUGAGAUUUCCUAGUAGUCACCCUACGGUGAUCAGGACCAGAAUUUUCUCUUCUGUCCCUUGUGUCCCUAAAACUCAUGGGAAACAAGAUUGGAGUUCAUCAAGUUCAGCAAAUGCUCUCAAGGCCAAUGCCAGCUUCAGUGUUCAACAUACCAUGGUAAGCUCCAACCUUCCCUUAAUUAAUCCCAAGUCUAGGUAUUUCUCAUUUUCUUAUCAGUUCAUCAUAUGCUUUUGAGGGAAUUUUUCUCCAUUUUGGGAGAGGGUGUAUUGACAGAAAUAAAGUCCCCAGUCCCCAACCGAUCACAUUAGAAUCUCUGUCCACCUGAGAGAGGCAGGACAAUCAUACAUGACUAGGCCCCGAAUAGAGGUCAUCACACAGCUACCAAAUAAAAUGGAUUGUGAAAUACUUCAGAUUGACUAAUCUUAUUAAUUUUUCCAGUAAUAUACAAUUCUUCCAUAUUCCUAUAGAAUCUACUAGACCCAUUUUUAGCACUGUUCUCUUAUUUUUUUAAUUCUUCAGGUCUUUGGAAUGUGAAUUUCAUAACAACAGGGAAUUUUUCUUGUCAUGACCAUUGGUAGUUCCCCAGUACCUACAUAGGUACUCUAAAAUUUUUUUUUAACUAAUUGUGUGAAUUGAAUAAAUGAAUAUAAAAUUUAAGGUGUUUAUUACAAGACAAUUUUCCCCCCAAUUUUGCUAUAGUACAGCUCAGGUUAUAAGAUAUCAAGCUAUGUAUUGACACUAACUUCAGAGAAGCUCAUUUUUUAAAAUAAGGAUGAUGUAGCCACAAAACCAACGUGCUUCUAAAAACAGAAAGAAUACUACCUGACUUUUUGCUAGUAAUUCAUGAUUUUAAAAACUUUCGAUAACAAUGCUUUAGCCAAUAGAGGUUACAAAGAAUUUUUCAUAAGCAGUACCGCACUGUAACCCCCUACAGCUUUGUGAAUUAUAAAAGGGAAGAAAGCUAUGGUUAGAAUUUUAGGCAAGAGAAUGCUAUGCAGCCAUAAAGAAUGAUGAGUUCAUGUCCUUUGUGGGGACAUGGAUGA